GACUACCCGGGUAUCUAAUCCUGUUUGCUCCCCACGCUUUCGAGCCUCAGUGUCAGUUAUGUUCCAGCAAGCCGCCUUCGCCUCUGGUGUUCCUCCUAAUCUCUACGCAUUCUACCGCUACACUAGGAAUUCCACUUGCCUCUCCCACACUCUAGAAGUACAGUUUUGUAUGCAGUUCCCGAGUUAAGCCCGGGGCUUUCACAUACAACUUGCACAACCACCUACGCUCCCUUUACGCCCAGUUAUUCCGGAUAACGCUUGCUACCUAUGUAUUACCGCGGCUGCUGGCACAUAGUUUGCCGUAGCUUGCUCAUGGGGUACCAUCACUUUAUUUUUCCCCCAUAACAGAAGUUUACAAUCCGAAGACCUUCAUCCUUCACGCGGCGUUGCUGGGUCAGAGUUUCCUCCAUUGCCCAAUAUUCCCCACUGCUGCCUCCCGUAGG
rnacentral:rRNA from 1 species